UACAGAGGGUGCGAGCGUUAAUCGGAAUUACUGGGCGUAAAGCGUGCGUAGACGGUCAUGUAAGUCGGGUGUGAAAGCCCCGGGCUCAACCUGGGAAUUGCAUUCGAGACUGCAUGGCUAGGGUGCGGAAGAGGGAAGCGGAAUUUCCGGUGUAGCGGUGAAAUGCGUAGAUAUCGGAAGGAACAUCAGUGGCGAAAGCGGCUUCCUGGUCCAGCACCGACGUUCAGGCACGAAAGCGUGGGGAGCAAACAGG
rnacentral:rRNA from 1 species